CAAAGGUUGAGAAACCAGGUUAUAGUGUACUGAUCACAGCCAGCUCUGGCCCACCACCAUUGGAAUUAUAAGAAAAAAAUGUAUUGCCCACUUAGCCAAUAAAUGGACAUAAGCAAUCAGCUGUCGUCUAUGCCUUAGCAUAGUUUCCAAACAAAACUGGAAUUUUUCAAUAGGUUGAUAUUUUAUAUCAUGAAAAAAAAAUCAAGAAUGGGUAUAGUUAACAUUGUGGUAGAUAACAACACACUAGAUAAAAAGAUACAGGACAUAGGACAAUCAUUGACCAUUGAUAGAAUAUAGAAUCCAGAGAUAAAAUGGGGCAAUCUCUUCUUUCUGUUUUCGUUUAAUCUCAUUUCUGUUG